rnacentral:snoRNA from 1 species
AACCCAUGAUGAGGACACUCUCUGAGGGUAUCAUUGAACCGUCCCCAAGCUUCGUUGAAAGGUUCACUAGGGAGUUGCUUGAAGGAGGAAAUCUUGUUCCGUAGGGC